rnacentral:rRNA from 1 species
UACGUAGGGGGCGAGCGUUGUCCGGAAUCAUUGGGCGUAAAGCGCGUGUAGGCGGCCAGGUAGGUCCGUUGUGAAAACUCGAGGCUCAACCUCGAGACGUCGGCGGAAACCCUCUGGCUAGAGUCCGGAAGAGGAGAGUGGAAUUCCUGGUGUAGCGGUGAAAUGCGCAGAUAUCAGGAAGAACACCGAUGGCGAAGGCAGCUCGCUGGGACGGUACUGACGCUGAGGCGCGAAAGCGUGGGGAGCGAACAGG